GAGGGUCAGGUGACUCGAUACUGGAGACACUGAGCAAAGACGGUGGCGGGAACCAGUUGCCGCAGCCUUGGGGAGAAACAGGAAAUGAGGAGCCUUUAUUCCACGCCGAAGUGCAGACGUGUAUCCUGCCACAGAAAUGAAUGUUCCAUUACCUUCAGAGAGAAAGCUCCAGUUACAUUAAAUGUCUUUCACAAACCACCAGAAAUAAAGGAAAUCCAGAAGG